GACGAACGCUGGCGGCGUGCCUAAUACAUGCAAGUCGAGCGAAUCGAUGGGAGCUUGCUCCCUGAGAUUAGCGGCGGACGGGUGAGUAACACGUGGGUAACCUGCCUGUAAGACUGGGAUAACUUCGGGAAACCGGAGCUAAUACCGGAUACUUUCUUUUCUCGCAUGAGGAGAGAUGGAAAGAUGGUUCCGCUAUCACUUACAGAUGGACCCGCGGCGCAUGAGCUAGUUGGUGAGGUAACGGCUCACCAAGGCGACGAUGCGUAGCCGACCUGAGAGGGUGAUCGGCCACACUGGGACUGAGACACGGCUCAGACUCCUACGGGAGGCAGCAGUAGGGAAUCUUCCGCAAUGGACGAAAGUCUGACGGAGCAACGCCGCGUGAGCGAAGAAGGCCUUCGGGUCGUAAAGCUCUGUUGUUAGGGAAGAACAAGUACGAGAGUAACUGCUCGUACCUUGACGGUACCUAACCAGAAAGCCACGGUUAACUACGUGCCAGCCGCCGCAGUAAAAC
rnacentral:rRNA from 1 species